UCGCCUCUUGCCAAUAACUAAGUAUAAGAGGUCCCGCCUGCCCAGUGACUAAUUUCAACGGCCGCGGUAUCAUGACCGUGCAAAGGUAGCGUAAUCACUUGUCUUUUAAAUAAAGACCUGUAUGAAAGGCAAAACGAAAGUUCAACUGUCUCUUUAAUCCAAUCAAUGAAAUUUAUCUUUUCGUGCAGAAGCGGAAAUAAAUAUAUAAGACGAGAAGACCCUAUGGAGCUUUAAACACACUAUUAACUACUAUAACACUUAAACCAACAGGGGAAAAAUAAAACCAUAUAGCUAUAAUAUAAGUUUUGGGUUGGGGCGACCACGGAGAAAAAGAAAUCCUCCGAGAUAAAUAAUUUAGAAUAACAAUUCGAAAAUUAAAACAUUUAUUAUAAAUGAUCCACUAAGUGACCAACGAACCAAGUUACCCUAGGGAUAACAGCGCAAUCCUUUCUAAGAGUCCAUAUCGACGAAUGGGUUUACGACCUCGAUGUUGGAUCAGGACACCCAAAUGGUGCAGCCGCUAUUAAAGGUUCGUUUGUUCAACGAUUAAAGUCCUAC
rnacentral:rRNA from 1 species